rnacentral:rRNA from 1 species
UACAGAGGUGGCAAGCGUUGUUCGGAAUUACUGGGCGUAAAGGGCGCGUAGGCGGCCUUGUAAGUCCUGUGUGAAAUCCCCCGGCUCAACUGGGGAACUGCACAGGAGACUGCUUGGCUUGAGUUCGGGAGAGGGAAGCGGAAUUCCGGGUGUAGCGGUGAAAUGCGUAGAUAUUCGCAAGAACACCAGUGGCGAAGGCGGCUCACUGGCCCGUAACUGACGCUGAGGCACGAAAGCGUGGGGAGCAAACAGG